GCGUGUUGCCGAGCAACGAUACAUUCGGUGUGCGGUAAAAGUAAGCGGUUGUGAACGACUUUGAAUAGGAUGCAGCAUGAGCCACGUGUGUGGUGAGACCUCUAUAAAAAAGGAAAAGUCAACAAUUUUCAACAAGAUAAAAAGCGUUUCUUUGCAAAAAGAUUCAGUGCUCUUCCCAGAUAUUCAACCCACUAUAGUAAGGCAAAUGAGGAGAAAAAAAUGAAACGACUGAAGACCCGCAAGGAGAGGAGUCAAAUAAGAGGUGGCUGGAAAGAGACUUCAAAGAUCAAGUCAAAUCACCAUCAUCAUCACCAUCGCCAUCGCCAAAGCAACUUAGAUAUGGCACAUUUGCAUAACUGCUGUCAUGCUAGUUGUCAUUGUUCUUCAAGGAGAAAUCCACCAUUUCCAAGUAUUGUUCCCUCUGUGCAGGAGCCCAGUAUCAUCACAGACGGCCGCCUGACAGGACACCAUGGCCUGUUUAACCAUGAGGUGAAGUCUAUUGAUUUUGAACGCUUGCUAAGUGAACAGCCAAAACUGGAGGAACAAAGAAAAGAAAAGAACACUGUAAUUUCACAUUCAUCUUCAGCAUUGCACAAUUCUGCUCCAAUGUCCACUGAUGGUUUGUUGGGAGCUGAUACAGAUGUUGGGAGCUGUGUGCCAUUCAGAAAAAAUACAGACCCUGCUUCAAAAGACCACACUGACUGCCAAGAGAAAGAAAAGAAAAACAUGCAGUUUGAUUCAAAGCAAUCAGAUGUCACAACAGAGGAGAAACCACAACAACAACUCGCUCUUUCAUGUGAAAGUUUUCAAAGCAGCCACUCGUCUAAACACAGCUUCCUCGAUGUACUAACAACAGAAACCAAGUGGACAUGUGUCGUGUCUGAAAACAGCAGAGAAUCACUGCUGACUCCAGUUGUUGACAGAGACAAUAUAAAGACUUUCAACACAAAUGUAAAAGAACGUGUGAUUUCUACUCUUGUGCAAACCCCAACUCUCAGUUCAGCCAACAGCUGUGAGAUACAGGACAGAACGCAAGAUCCAAAGUAUGUAAUGAAGUUUGUCAGUGCAGUGGCAGCACGUUUGUGUCACCAUCUGAAGCUUCCGUCAAUGAGCAGGAGAGACGUGCUGUCAGAGAGCAGGGAGGUUCUGUUGAACUCUCUGAGGAAAAGGCAUGGACCGUGGCUUCAAGAGAACCUCCUUAGACUUCAGCAACAUCGUAGCUUUGCUGUGCAUCCCACAAAGAAAGCCCAAGAUCAUGAUCAAGAGCCAACCAGGAAAAAUGAAGAGGAUCUCUUUGCUGCAGAUACCUCUUUUAAUAUGCCAGCAAAUAGACAUGCCAGCUGGAAGACCAGUCCACAGCCACACUGCAGUCAAAAACAGGUUACUGAGUGGCUGGCGAGCCCUGCGGAUAGGGCCGACAGUGUUUUGGAUGAUAUCCUCAGACCAAGUCUCUCUCCUCCAUUGUUCAUGAACUUUCAGACCUGUGAAGCUCCAGAAAGCAUUUUGUUUGCUCCUUCUACCA
rnacentral:lncRNA from 1 species